CAAAAAGGAGGGAUGAGUUGCCGGAAAAGGAGGGCUUUGCAGCCCUUCCGGAAAAAGAGGGCUUUGCAGCCCUUCUUUUCCAGUAACCACAUGGCCAACGAAGAGGGUUUCAAAUGCGCCGAUGAGGUUAUCACCUUGCCGGCGGUUUGAGUUUUCCUCACAACCCUCGGCCAUUGCUGACGAUUGUGUUUUUUUUAAACCCUCGACCAUUGCAAGGGUUUAUUUGUUCUUGAAACCCGCGGCAAUGGCCGAGAGUUUGGUUUUUUGUGAAACCCUCGGCCAUUACCGAGGGUUCUGUUCUACUUGAAAGUUGAAACCCUCGGCAAUGGCCGAGGGUUCUGGUUGAUGUCAAACCCUCGGCCAUUGCCGAGGGUUUGUCUGUGCUCUCAGACCCUCAGCCAAUAGAGAGAGAUUUGUAGAGAGAGAACAGAGGGAGAUCUGUAGGUAUAGAGAGGGAGAGAGAGAGAGAGAGAGAGGCGAUGCCAGAGAUGGCUUCAUGGGCGUGGCGGAAGAGCCCCGGCACGACCCUGGAGAGGUCGCUUCCCCCUUUCUGUCGUCGCACUCUUCUUUUUGCUGCUGGACUGGCCAACUGUCUGUCGCCUUGCUUUGUACCGUUCCAUCUCUCUCUUGAUGUUGUGAAAUUGAAAGAGAAGGAAAGCACGAGAAUUAAGGUAGAAGCAGGUCGGAGGAGGAAAAGGGACAGCGAACGAUGAAAGAACAACAAUUCAGAGUUGCUUCCUUUCACCCCCAAAAUCACAAAAAGAGACAUCGGAUAUCAAAAUCAGGUCUUCAAAGUAGAAACGAUGGCGAAGUGGACAAUGUCGCCGGAGGAGGAAAAUAACAAGCCGCCGGGAAUAGUAGCAGGGUAUUUUGCUGGAACAGCACAAUGCGGCCGGAAGAGGGAUAAAACACGGCAAUCCAACCCUAGAUAGUCCAAUAGAUGCAUUUAUCUCCGGAAACAGAUGGGUCGAUCAUCGGAAGCUGAGGAACAAGCUCCGAAUCGAUGUUUGGAACAAUAGCUUUUGCGGAGAAAAGGAGAACGAAGUAUAGAUGGGGCGAAAGAGGGGAAUGGAACGAGCUUACCUGUGAAGAAAUGCGAUCGCCCAACCGGCUCUGUGAUGAGAAGAGAAUCGAAGGAGUUCGGUUCGAACGGAGGAGGAAGAUGCGAUAGCGAGGGAGAAAGUGCUCGGUCGAUGUGUGAUGAAAAGGGGAUAGAAGAAGCUCCGUCGAUCGAAAGAGGAAGCAGCAGUAGCGAGGGAGAAAGAGCUCGGUCGAUCGGCGGUGGCGAGGGAGAGGAGCGCGCACGAUGGAAAAAGCCCCAACGGGCAAAAAAAAAAUCGUUGAAAAAAAGUCGGACCCCCACGGGUCCGACUUUUUUCCGGGGUAAAUUUACCCUGAAAAUCGACUUUUAGCACGCUCAAACUGCUCAACUUCAAAAACUCUCACCAGAAAACGCUGCGUCCGCCCCUCCCUUUGGUGAGCAGUCUGGCGGUGACAGUAACAUCUUCGGUGGCGGCAGCUCUCUCCCUAGCUGUGACAGCUCUUUCUCUAUGGCAGCAGCAUUCUCUUCACAUUGCAGCUUAAGCUACUCAAUAUCAGAUAAUCUCACCAGAUAUUCAAAAAAAUGCUGACAUCCACCCCUCCCUUCAGUGAAUUAGUUUUUUCUUGCUAGAAUAUUAUCUUGAGAACAAUCACAUUUAGCUUAACAUUUUUUUGUCUAUGAAAUUUGCUUUGUUUUC